CUGUAUGUACUGUACAUUUCAUAAUAAAUAUUUAAAGUCAGUCUCUUAUGUAUGUUGUGACUACCUGAAAUUGCAAGUUUAUUGAUCUUUUUCACUUUGGUCCAGCUGACAGUAUACGUGGGAACGUAAAGUAGAACAGUGUUUUGGAAAAGCUGUUUCACAGUAUAUCUCAAAAACCUAAGUAUUCUCCUUUAUCCAGCAGUUCCACUUUGAAGAACUGAACCUAAGGAAAUAGUCCUAAAUAUUGGAAAAGGUUUUACAGAAGGAUGCUUAUUGCACCAUUAUUAAUAGUUAAAAAAUGGAAAGAAAAGGCCAUGGUUUAUUAAAAUAGAGUAUAUUGACUCGAUGGAGUGCCAUGCGAUAUUUCUAAAUGAUGUUUGUAGAAACAAUGUUGUAACCUCAGAAAUGCACAUGACAGAUGAACAAGAACAGGAUACAAGAUUGUGUCUCUUGGGUGAUUAUAGCUAUGUAAAAAAUGUAUGAAACAAAGAACUCUGUGCCUGACAUCUGCAAAGCCUAUCCUAUACCUAACUGUUCUUUGAAUCAUUACUUUAAAAUACAGUAAUUUAGGCAUAAUCCAAUAUAUAUACUUUACGUCUAUGAGGAAAAAUUCAAACGUGUUUGAGAUUCUUUUCUUCUUCCAGAUUAGGUUUUUAAAUUCAAACACAGAUUUAAUAAAUCUAACUUGGUUCAGCAAUACAGUUGGAACAAUUGAACACAUUUGUAUGUGAGGAUGGAGGAGGGAAGAAUGAAAAGGAGGGAUUGGGAAGGGGAUGGGGAUGAAGUUCAUAAAAGCACAGUGGCUAGACCUGUAACUCAUGGCAGUGUCCAGCUAUUUGUCCAAUGAGCAGUAAAUGGCCUCUAAAGUUUCUCCAUUGUGUCUAUGAUCUUGCAUUUCAGCAUCUGAAAAGAAAUCACAAGAGGUUGGGUUGGUGCAAUGUUCCUUUCUUCCCAGGACUUUCUGGUCUUCAAGGCUUUCUUAUGAGAUGGAAGACUGAUGGAUGUAGAAGUUUCUAAGAGGACAGCUUGUAAACACUUCGGUAACCUGCAAAGAUGCUGGAGCCGGUGGGGAAGAGAGUCCAGCCAGGAUGUCCAAAUGCCACUGCCACAUCAGGAUUACUAAUGGGCAUGGUCAUCUUCUAACCAGUGAGCUUCUUUAAUUUUGGGGAGACAACAAAAAUGAAUCAAAAGAAUAAUGUGGUUCUAAUGUCAUCUCUGAGAAAAAUGAUAUCAGCCAAACCCUGUAUCCUUAAGCCAGGCUGAUCUGCCCGACACCAUAAGGGCAGUUGGCAAAUAGGCACACAGCAGUGCAUUAGCUCAGUGGGCUUAGUGUUGGAUGCUAAAUUCCAGUUUCACUCUCAUUGCCCUUGGCUUCUGCCAGGGACUUGGUCUCAGUGUCAGCCCUACUUUUGCCACAUAGAUUUUGUGUUUGAACUUUGUUUUUCCGACUUUGAUGCUCAGAUCGUCUCACAACUCAAGCUCUGGCCUCCUCCUUCCUGACUGCUUUGAGUAGACACAGACCUACUUUUUCUCCAAGGACAAAAUACUUAUCUGGGCUCUGAUCAUGCUACCUUAGUCACCUAAAUAUCAUCAGUGCUGAUUCCUAACCACUCUGACUAUUGUCACCAGAAAGUGGCCUGAUAGUGUUGGGAAGUCUUGCUCCUUGUCUGGGGCCCGAGGCCCUCUUUUGAAGUUUGAAGGCUCUUCUGUAGGUAGGUAGGCGGGGUCAUCAUUUGCUUAGCAGCCAAACCAAAAUGUUGUAUACUACCUGUGGUAGGUAGAAUGAUGACCCUCCAACAAUGUCCACAUCCUAAUCCCCUGAACCUGUGAGUGUAUCGUGUGACAUGGCAAGGGGGAAUGAAGGUCGCAGAAAGAAUUAAGUUGCUAAUCAACUGAUCUUAUGAUUGGGAAAUUAUUUUGGAUUACUGAAGCAAGUCUAAUGUAAUUAUUAGGGUCUUUAAGGUGGGAGAGGGAAGCAGAAGAGGAGGUCAAAAGGAGAGAGAGAUUUGAAGAUGCUCCACCCCUGGCUUUGAAAAUGGGGAAAGGGACCACAAGGAGCUGGAAAAAGCAGAGAAAGAUUCUUUCCUAGAGCCUCCAGGAGGACACAGUCCUGCUGACGCCUUGAUUUUAGCCCAGAAUGAUCAAUGUCUGACUUCUGGCCUCUAGAAUUGUAAGACAAUGCACUUGUGUCCUUCAAAGCCUCAAAGUGGGGGCUAAUGUUAUAGCAGUAACAGGACAUUAAUAUACCCUUCAAACAACAAAGAGCUUCUUUCUAUUCAAUAAUGAAUUUUUAUAAAUGAAAAAAAAAAA